rnacentral:rRNA from 1 species
CCUACGGGAGGCAGCAGUAGGGAAUCUUCCGCAAUGGACGAAAGUCUGACGGAGCAACGCCGCGUGAGUGAUGAAGGCUUUCGGGUCGUAAAACUCUGUUGUUAGGGAAGAACAUGUGCUAGUUGAAUAAGCUGGCACCUUGACGGUACCUAACCAGAAAGCCACGGCUAAUUACGUGCCAGCAGCCGCGGUAAUACGUAGGUGGCAAGCGUUAUCCGGAAUUAUUGGGCGUAAAGCGCGCGCAGGUGAUUUCUUAAGUCUGAUGUGAAAGCCCACGGCUCAACCGUGGAGGGUCAUUGGAAACUGGGAGACUUGAGUGCAGAAGAGGAAAGUGGAAUUCCAUGUGUAGCGGUGAAAUGCGUAGAGAUAUGGAGGAACACCAGUGGCGAAGGCGACUUUCUGGUCUGUAACUGACACUGAGGCGCGAAAGCGUGGGGAGCAAACAGGAUUAGAUACCCUGGUAGUCCACGCCGUAAACGAUGAGUGCUAAGUGUUAGAGGGUUUCCGCCCUUUAGUGCUGAAGUUAACGCAUUAAGCACUCCGCCUGGGGAGUACGGCCGCAAGGCUGAAACUCAAAGGAAUU